UAAUACGUAGGGUGCGAGCGUUGUCCGGAAUUAUUGGGCGUAAAGGGCUCGUAGGCGGUUUGUCGCGUCGGGAGUGAAAACACUGGGCUUAACCCAGUGCUUGCUUUCGAUACGGGCAGACUAGAGGUAUGCAGGGGAGAACGGAAUUCCUGGUGUAGCGGUGAAAUGCGCAGAUAUCAGGAGGAACACCGGUGGCGAAGGCGGUUCUCUGGGCAUGAUCUGACGCUGAGGAGCGAAAGUGUGGGGAGCGAACAGGAUUAGAUACCCUGGUAGUCCACACCGUAAACGUUGGGCGCUAGGUGUGGGGUCCAUUCCACGGGUUCCGUGCCGCAGCUAACGCAUUAAGCGCCCCGCCUGGGGAGUACGGCCGCAAGGCUA
rnacentral:rRNA from 1 species